AAUUUCAGUAAUUAGUAAAUUACUCGCGAUUCGUGACUAGUUUAAUGUUAUCAGUUUAAAUUUAAACGAAGGGCCCGGACCGUUAGUUUUUCAUAGAUGUAAAAAUUCUCGGAUUUGUUCACGUCCCACCUCAAAAGAUACGAAAUGUCUGCCCGUGGCGGUACUUUAUUUAAAGCACUUAUCGAAAUGCUCUACAGUUCAUUCUCUAAGUCCAUUUUUUUGGAGGUUUGAUUUUUGGGAUACCUAAGAAAUAAAAGGAAAAUAUGUUUAAUACUACUCUAUUUUAAUGAGUUGGAAAAAAGUUGGAAAAGUUUC